rnacentral:rRNA from 1 species
CCUACGGGCGGCAGCAGUGAGGAAUAUUGGUCAUUGGACGAGAGUCUGAACCAGCCAAGUAGCGUGAAGGAUGACUGCCCUAUGGGUUGUACACUUCUUUUAUAUGGGAAUAAAAUGUUCCUCGUGUGCCAUUUUGUCUGUACCUUAUGAAUAAGGAUCGGCUAACUCCGUUCCAGCAGCCGCGGUACUCCGGAGGCUCCGAGGGGGAUCCGGAUUUCUUUGGUUUAAAGGGAGCGUCGGUGGAUUGUUAAGUCAGGGGGGAAAGGUGUGGGCUCAACCCGAGAAUUGCAGUUGAAACUGGCAGUCUUGAGUAGAGGAGAGGUGGGCGGAAGUCGUGGUGUAGCGGUGAAAUGCUGAGAUAUCACGAAGAACUCCGAUUGCGAAGGCAGCUCACUGGAGGGGAACGGACACUGAGGCACGAAAGUGUGGGUAUCAAACAGGAUUAGAUACACCAGUAGUC